rfam:Ilyobacter polytropus DSM 2926 plasmid pILYOP01, complete sequence.
AUGAAGGUAUGGGGAGAGAGCUGUUUUUACAGCCACCGAAGAAGUAAAUCUUUCAGGUAAAUGGACCUAUACUGGACG